CCUACGGGUGGCAGCAGUGAGGAAUAUUGGUCAAUGGACGAGAGUCUGAACCAGCCAAGUAGCGUGAAGGAUGACUGCCCUAUGGGUUGUAAACUUCUUUUAUAUGGGAAUAAAAUGUUCCACGUGUGGGAUUUUGUAUGUACCAUAUGAAUAAGGAUCGGCUAACUCCGUGCCAGCAGCCGCGGUAAUACGGAGGAUCCGAGCGUUAUCCGGAUUUAUUGGGUUUAAAGGGAGCGUAGGUGGAUUGUUAAGUCAGUUGUGAAAGUUUGCGGCUCAACCGUAAAAUUGCAGUUGAAACUGGCAGUCUUGAGUACAGUAGAGGUGGGCGGGAUUCGUGGUGUAGCGGUGGAAUGCUUAGAUAUCACGAAGAACUCCGAUUGCGAAGGCAGCUCACUGGACUGCAACUGACACUGAGGCUCGAAAGUGUGGGUAUCAAACAGGAUUAGAUACCCUUGUAGUC
rnacentral:rRNA from 1 species